GAGGGUGUAGCUCAGUGGUAGAGUGUGUGCUUAGCGUGGCAUGAGGUCCUGGGUUCAAUCCCCAGCAUCUCCA
rnacentral:tRNA from 1 species